GUUCUUAGAACCAGAAAUAAAACCUCAUUGGCCCUUUUAAAUGUCCAGUGUGUGGCCAGUGCUUGGUAAUAGAUUUUAUAGUUUUCUGCCUGGCGUAAAUUUAGCGAUGACGAUGGUUCUUAGACCCAGAAAGCAAACCUCAACAGCCCUUUUUCAGGUUAGCUGUGGCCGUUGAUCUAUAAAAGAGGUUAGGGUUUUCUAGCUUUGCAGACUGAGCGGAGGAAGAAUAGCACACCUGCUGCCAAAAGCUCGAAAGAGACAAGGCUUGAUGGACACGACUGAGGAAGAAACAAAAGCAAAAGAAGAAAGAAGAGAGCAUGAAAAUGUCUCCAGCAAAAGCCCUGUUAGCCUUCGGCUGUGAUGGGGCCUCCUACGAUGUGAGGCCUGUGCUCUGCACCACCUUAGAAGACAGAAGACUCAGCCGUCAGCCUGCAGCGUCGAUGGCAAGAGGAGGAAUGGAAGGGAAUAAUGAAUAUGAUCUCCAUCAAGAAUGCUACCUCACCAAGUCAAUCACAACUGACCUUUAGAUAAUAGAUUUUAGACCAUUCUUGCUUGCUGUACGUUUAGCCAUGGCGAUGGUUAUUAGAACCAAAAAAACUCCUCAAUGGCCCUUUUUAAUCCUACGCGUGGCUGUUGAUCGAUAAUAGUUUUUAUAGUUUUCUGCCUGGCAUAAAUUUAGCCAUGGUGGUGGUUAUUAGAAUCAGAAAUAAAACCUCACUGGCCCUUUUAAAUGACCAGUGAGGCCAGUGCUUGGUAAUAGAUUUUAUAGUUUUCUGCUUGGCGUAACUUAGCCAUGGCGAUGGUUCUUAGAACCAGAAAUAAAACCUCAUUGGCCCCUUUAAAUGUCCAGUGUGUGGCCAGUGCUUGGUAAUAGAUUUUAUAGUUUUCUGCCUGGUGUAAAUUUAGCCAUGGCGAGGGUUCUUAGAACCAGAAAUAAAACCUCAUUGGCCCUUUUAAAUGUCCAGUGUGUGGCCAGUGCUUGGUAAUAGAUUUUAUAGUUUUCUGCUUGGCGUAACCUAGCCAUGGCGAGGGUUCUUAGAACCAGAAAUAAAACCUCAUUGGCCCUUUUAAAUGACCAGUGAGGCCAGUGCUUGGUAAUAGAUUUUAUAGUUUUCUGCUUGGCGUAACUUAGCCAUGGCGAUGGUUCUUAGAACCAGAAAUAAAACCUCAUUGGCCCCUUUAAAUGUCCAGUGUGUGGCCAGUGCUUGGUAAUAGAUUUUAUAGUUUUCUGCCUGGUGUAAAUUUAGCCAUGGCGAGGGUUCUUAGGACCAGAAAUAAAACCUCAUUGGCCCUUUUAAAUGUCCAGUGUGUGGCCAGGGCUUGGUAAUAGAUUUUAUAGUUUUCUGCUUGGCGUAACCUAGCCAUGGCGAGGGUUCUUAGAACCAGAAAUAAAACCUCAUUGGCCCUUUUAAAUGUCCAGUGUGUGGCCAGUGCGUGGUAAUAGAUUUUAUAGUUUUCUGCCUGGCGUAAAUUUAGCGAUGACGAUGGUUCUUAGACCCAGAAAGCAAACCUCAACGGCCCUUUUUAAGGUUAGCUGUGGCCGUUGAUCUAUAAAAGAGGUUAGGGUUUUCUAGCUUUGCAGACUGAGCGGAGGAAGAAUAGCACACCUGGUGCCAAAAGUUCCUCGAAAGAGACAAGGCUUGCUGGGCACGACUGAGGAAGAAACAAAAGCAAAAGAAGAAAGAAUAGAGCAUGAAAAUGUCUCCAGCUCAAGUCCUGUUAGCCUUCGGCUGUGAUGUGGCCUCCUAUGAUGUGAGGCCUGUGCUCUGCACCACCUUAGAAGACAGAAGACUCAGUCGUCAGCCUGCAGAGUCAAUGGAAGAAGGAGGAAUGGAAGGCAAGAAUGGAUAUGCUCUCCAUCAAGAAUGCUACCUCACCAAGUCAAUCACAACUGACUUUAGAUAAUAGAUUGAGACCAUUCUUGCCUGCUGUACGUUUAGCCAUGGCGAUGGUUAUUAGAACCAAAAAAACCUCCUCAAUGGCCCUGUUUAAUCCUACGCGUGGCUGUUGAUCGAUAAUAGAUUUUAUAGUUUUCUGCCUGGCGUAAAUUUAGCCAUGGCGGUGGUUCUUAGAACCAGAAAGCAAACCUCAUUGGCCCUUUUAAAUGACCACUGU